rnacentral:rRNA from 1 species
CAGGCUUAACACAUGCAAGUCGAGGGGCAUCAGGAAUAAAGCUUGCUUUCUUUGCUGGCGACCGGCGCACGGGUGAGUAACACGUAUCCAACCUGCCCUUUACUCGGGGAUAGCCUUUCGAAAGAAAGAUUAAUACCCGAUAGCAUAAUGAUUCCGCAUGGUUUCAUUAUUAAAGGAUUCCGGUAAAGGAUGGGGAUGCGUUCCGUUAGGUUGUUGGUGAGGUAACGGCCCACCAAGCCUUCGAUGGAUAGGGGUUCUGAGAGGAAGGUCCCCCACAUUGGAACUGAGACACGGUCCAAACUCCUACGGGAGGCAGCAGUGAGGAAUAUUGGUCAAUGGGCGCUAGCCUGAACCAGCCAAGUAGCGUGAAGGAUGAAGGCUCUAUGGGUCGUAAACUUCUUUUAUAUAAGAAUAAAGUGCAGUAUGUAUACUGUUUUGUAUGUAUUAUAUGAAUAAGGAUCGGCUAACUCCGUGCCAGCAGCCGCGGUAAUACGGAGGAUCCGAGCGUUAUCCGGAUUUAUUGGGUUUAAAGGGAGCGUAGGUGGACUGGUAAGUCAGUUGUGAAAGUUUGCGGCUCAACCGUAAAAUUGCAGUUGAUACUGUCAGUCUUGAGUACAGUAGAGGUGGGCGGAAUUCGUGGUGUAGCGGUGAAAUGCUUAGAUAUCACGAAGAACUCCGAUUGCGAAGGCAGCUCACUGGACUGCAACUGACACUGAUGCUCGAAAGUGUGGGUAUCAAACAGGAUUAGAUACCCUGGUAGUCCACACAGUAAACGAUGAAUACUCGCUGUUUGCGAUAUACAGUAAGCGGCCAAGCGAAAGCAUUAAGUAUUCCACCUGGGGAGUACGCCCGGCACGGUGAAACUCAAAGGAAAUGACGGGGGGCCCGCACAAGCGGAAGAACAUGUGGUUUAAUUCGAUGAUACGCGAGGAAACCUACCCGGGCUUAAAUUGCAGUGGAAUGAUGUGGAAACAUGUCAGUGAGCAAUCACCGCUGUGAAGGUGCUGCAUGGUUGUCGUCAGCUCGUGCCGUGAGGUGUCGGCUUAAGUGCCAUAACGAGCGCAACCCUUAUCUUUAGUUACUAACAGGUUAUGCUGAGGACUCUGGAGAGACUGCCGUCGUAAGAUGUGAGGAAGGUGGGGAUGACGUCAAAUCAGCACGGCCCUUACGUCCGGGGCUACACACGUGUUACAAUGGGGGGUACAGAAGGCAGCUACCUGGUGACAGGAUGCUAAUCCCAAAAGCCUCUCUCAGUUCGGAUCGAAGUCUGCAACCCGACUUCGUGAAGCUGGAUUCGCUAGUAAUCGCGCAUCAGCCACGGCGCGGUGAAUACGUUCCCGGGCCUUGUACACACCGCCCGUCAAGCCAUGGGAGCCGGGGGUACCUGAAGUACGUAACCGCAAGGAUCGUCCUAGGGUAAAACUGGUGACUGGGGC